UACGGAGGGUGCAAGCGUUAUUCGGAUUCACUGGGCUUAAAGGGCGCGUAGGCGGACAGGUAAGUCAGUGGUGAAAUCUCUGGGCUUAACCCAGAAACUGCCGUUGAUACUAUUUGUCUUGAAUAUCCUGGAGGUAGGCGGAAUAUGUCAUGUAGCGGUGAAAUGCUUAGAUAUGACAUAGAACACCGAUAGCGAAGGCAGCUUACUACAGGAUGAUUGACGCUGAGGCACGAAAGCGUGGGGAGCAAACAGG
rnacentral:rRNA from 1 species